GUGUCAGCAGCCGCGGUAAUACGUAGGGUGCGAGCGUUAAUCGGAAUUACUGGGCGUAAAGCGUGCGUAGGCGGUUCGUUAAGUUCGUCGUGAAAGCCCCGGGCUCAACCUGGGAAUGGCGAUGGAAACUGGCGGGCUGGAGUAUGGCAGAGGGGGGUGGAAUUCCGCGUGUAGCAGUGAAAUGCGUAGAGAUGCGGAGGAACACCGAUGGCGAAGGCAGCCCCCUGGGCCAAUACUGACGCUCAGGCACGAAAGCGUGGGGAGCAAACAGGAUUAGAUACCCCGGUAGUCC
rnacentral:rRNA from 1 species